GACAGUUUAAAUUAUAAGUAGUUCAUAGAAAUUGCGCUACUGUACUUGUUAAAAUGUAAAUCGGGCUUUAGUAGAAGGGUCCUUUCCGAACGGGGAGUAGAUUAUUUACUAUGGCAUAGAAUAGUAAGUAGAAGUAGUUAGAUGGGAGGAUUUUGUCCUACGUCCGCAGGCAAGACCACUGAAACCUGACAUAGAGCCUUUAAUUAUUCAUGGUCAUUAGUGCUGGUUGGUACCAAUAAAGACUAUUCGAUUAAGAAAUUUGAGUACACCUAAAGUCAGUUUUUUAAUCUCAGAUACUAAAUUAACUGAUUCUGAACGGUUCAUCAACAGUCGAUUGUCCCGCGAUUAAGUGACGUAUCGUUCUAUUUGAGGAAGAAACAUAUUUGCUUACGCAUACAGGACUUAGAAAUCAAUUAUUAAAUAAUUACAAAUAAAAUCAUUAUUUCAUUUCCAAGUCCUGUAUUUUUAAACAAAUGUUUCUUUAUCUCAGAACAUAGUAUUAUUAUUAAUUAUGUAUAGGUAUAACUAACUACAAUCUAUGUCAGACUUCAGUUACCCUGCACGUUCCUUCCGGGUGGUGCUAAAGGACUUAUAAAAUUAAAUAUGUAAUGUGUUUUCGUGUUAAAAAAAAUAGUACCUAUUGCCAGUACUUUAUAUAUCUCAUAUGAAGUUAAUACUUUUCAGAAAGCUGAUUCUCAAAUACGCGUCGAAAAACAAAAACCAGUUGGGCUGAAUCUUCAAAGAACCAAAAUUAAGAAAACACGAAAUAAUAUUUUUCAGACCUAAGAGUUACUGUAACGCCCCCCACAUCGCAUAGCCGCCAAAAGUGCAUUCCUGCAGCGUGCAUCGCCUCAACCUGAAUGAUGAAGAAUCUUCUAAAGCCACUGACGGACAAUACCAAAGAGUUACUGUAACGCCCCCCACAUCGCAUAGCCGCCAAAAGUGCAUUCCUGCAGCGUGCAUCGCCUCAACCUGAAUGAUGAAGAAUCUUCUAAAGCCACUGACGGACAAUGUAAACUCAUGAAAUAUCACACCUACAACAAGUUAGAAAAGUAUAAAUAAGCACAAUCCAGAAAAAAGUUAAAAUGUCUUAAAUAAAU